CCUACGUGAGGCAGCAGUGAGGAAUAUUGGUCAAUGGGCGCGAGCCUGAACCAGCCAAGUAGCGUGAAGGAUGACUGCCCUACGGGUUGUAAACUUCUUUUAUAAAGGAAUAAAGUGAGGCACGUGUGCCUUUUUGUAUGUACUUUAUGAAUAAGGAUCGGCUAACUCCGUGCCAGCAGCCGCGGUAAUACGGAGGAUCCGAGCGUUAUCCGGAUUUAUUGGGUUUAAAGGGAGCGUAGAUGGGUUGUUAAGUCAGUUGAGAAAGUUUGCGGCUCAACCGUAAAAUUGCAAUUGAUACUGGCAGUCUUGAGUACAGUUGAGGUAGGCGGAAUUCGUGGUGUAGCGGUGAAAUGCUUAGAUAUCACGAAGAACUCCGAUUGCGAAGGCAGCUUACUAAACUGCCACUGACAUUGAUGCUCGAAAGUGUGGGUAUCAAACAGGAUUAGAUACCCCAGUAGUC
rnacentral:rRNA from 1 species